rnacentral:piRNA from 1 species
CAUGUUCAAGCAAGAAGCCGGUUGUGUGGA